rfam:Ipomoea nil DNA, scaffold: scaffold2283, cultivar: Tokyo-kokei standard.
GGGUGUUUGGUCUAGUGGUAUGAUUUUUGCUUUGGGUGCAAGAGGUCGUGAGCUCGAUUCUCACAACACCCC